rnacentral:tRNA from 1 species
GAGGCUAUAGCUCAAAUGGUAGAGCAUAUGCUUAGCAAGCAGGAGGUCCUGGGUUUAAUCCCUGGUACCACCU